GCCACCAAGAAGUCCAUAGAGAGCCUCAGCAACAUAAUGGUUUUCAUCUUAGGACUAGAACAUUCUAAACAGUUACAUAGCAAAAAGGCACACACUGUCAGUUGACUGGCCCAAAUUCCAUCUGAGGUGCCCUAAUCCAUGUCUACUUUCCUGUGAUUGAUUUUCAUGAGACCAUGUGACCCAAUAAUGGCCAAUGAAAUAUAAGCACAUGGUAAUGGGAGAGUACCACCCAACUAACCAGAACACCACCCAGUUAGCCAGAACGCAGGGAAGAUGGUACUCUCAUAUAUUAUGGUGUCCUGAUGUGCCAUAAUUAAGGAUUUGCUGGAGGCGAGGUGGAAUGGAGCUGAGGGAAGGAGGCCAGAGGUUCAGAAGUGCACGAUGGGGAGGCGCAUGGUGGUAGCCCUGAAGGAGACUUGACUGCGGAAAAGAGACAACAUCCGAGGGAGUGAUGAUCAAGCUAGAAGGACCAAAAACCGUAUUGACUGCAACAAAACAAAGUUAUAAAAUGUCAUUUUCCUCUAAUUGCCAGACGGCUCCUCACACAAAUCAAAACAUGCUGUUUACCAUGUAAUCACAUAAUAUCACCAGCUGUUUGCAUUCAUAGUAAGUCCUCUUACAUGCCUUUCUCAGACUUAAACAGGAAAAUUCCCCUUUGCUGAACAUUAUUGCCAAAAUAGAACACAUGAAGAAAAAAAAGGGCAUUGAAACCUAGCAAUACAUAUUCACUUCUGGCCCUAGGACUGUAUUUUAAAAUAUAUGAAAGCUUUGGAAAUCACUUUUAUUUUCACUUUGAAUCAGCUCUAAUCUUUCAACACAGCUUUUACUUCUGAAAAUGGACUCCCAUUUUCCCCCA